rnacentral:rRNA from 1 species
UACGGGGGGGGCAAGCGUUGUUCGGAAUUACUGGGCGUAAAGGGCUCGUAGGCGGCCAACUAAGUCGGAUGUGAAAUCCCCAGGCUCAACCUGGGAACUGCAUCCGAUACUGGAUGGCUUGAAUUCGGGAGAGGGAUGCAGAAUUCCAGGUGUAGCGGUGAAAUGCGUAGAUAUCGGGAAGAACACCCGUGGCGAAGGCGGUUCUCUGGGACGGUACUGACGCUGAGACGCGAAAGCGUGGGGAGCGAACAGG